rnacentral:rRNA from 1 species
GACGAACGCUGGCGGCGUGCUUAACACAUGCAAGUCGAACGAAGUGGCGAACGGGUGAGUAACGCGUAAUCAACCUGCCCUUCAGAGGGGGACAACAGUUGGAAACGACUGCUAAUACCGCAUACUGAAGGAGGGGAUUGCGUCUGAUUAGCUAGUUGGAGGGGUAACGGCCCACCAAGGCGAUGAUCAGUAGCCGGUCUGGGAGGAUGAACGGCGACAUUAGGACUGAGACACGGCCCAGACUCCUACGGGAGGCAGCAGUGGGUAAUCUUCCGCAAUGGAGGAAAGUCUGACGGAGCAACGCCGCGUGAGUGAUGACGGCCUUCGGGUUGUAAAGCUCUUUUAUGAGGGAAGCGGUACCUCAAGAAAAAGCCCCGGCUAACUACGUGCCAGCAGCCGCGGUAAUUC